rnacentral:lncRNA from 1 species
UGAAAUGAAUUCUAAUGGAAAGUUUAUGAUGUUAAUAUCAUUAUUUAAUGCAGGACUUGAUUGUUGUCAUGUAAAGUACUCAAGGACCUUACUAAUUUGGUACAUGAACCAACCAAAGUUUUUUCCACCGUAAGAUUUCAAUGCAUCCGAGUGUGUUAGUUAUUUUUCUUGAUAAAUAUCACAAAUACCGAAUACUUUAUGGAUUUAAUUUAUGGAUUGAUGUUGGCUAUUUUCAGGGAAGAUAAUAGUCAAAGAAGGAACCAAUUGUUGUUGAUCUUAUCAUAGCCAAAGCAAUAAUUUGUAUCUUGCCAAACACUCAAUCAUCUCUUCCUUAAACACAUUUUAAUGAUAUUGUAAUUUGUCAGCAAUGCUAUUAUGAAUUUAUGAUGUAGACUUGUUUGUAUCUAUGUAGUAGAUUAUUUUCUUUCACUCUUUGUUUAGUAUAUUCCAUUGUUCUUUGUUAGCUAUAUUUAUGAUU